AGAGUUUGAUCCUGGCUCGGGAUAAACGCUAGCGGCAGGCCUAACACAUGCAAGUCGAGGGGCAUCGGAUAGAGUACUUCGGUACUCUUGCCGGCGACCGGCGGACGGGUGCGUAACGCGUAUGCAACCUACCUUCAACAGGGGGAUAAUCCGAAGAAAUUUGGUCUAAUACCCCAUAAUAUUCCGACAGGCGUCUGUCGGAGUUGAAAGCUUCGGUGGUUGGAGAUGGGCAUGCGUUGUAUUAGCUAGAUGGUGAGG
rnacentral:rRNA from 1 species